CUGAUUGAUGUCUGGUUGUUGAAAACAUAUUCCCCAACCUGUUCUUCUUGUCUUAAUUUUCCUCAGUCCAAAGUUCCAGAAAUGGGCGAUUUCCAAGGCCCCUUCAUAGUGUCACCCCCUCCUUCACCCUCUUCCUCGGACAAGUCCAGCACAACCAUGUUAUACUAUGGGCUUGUAGUGGUGGGGGUUGCAGCGGCGGCAUUAGCCCUGUACAACUUCAUAAUCAUCAGGAGGAGCAGAAGGAGGCACGUGCAAUCAGAAGGCGAAGGGGGAAAUGGGUUGGUGGAGGUGGUGAGUGAAAGUAGAAUAGAGAACUUGGUGUCAAGCUUCAAGUACAAGAAAGAAGGAGUUGUGGGUUAUGAUGAUGAAUGCUCAGUUUGCUUAUCUGGAUUUGAAGAAGGAGAAGAAGUUCGGAAGCUUCCACAGUGCAAGCACUGGUUCCACGCUCCAUGCAUAGACAUGUGGCUCUACUCUCACUUGGACUGCCCAAUUUGUCGAACACCUGUGGUGCGUUUCUCGCAGACAUUGCUGGAAUGAGGUAGCGGUGUGUUUGUAAAUUAUAAGUGCGAUGAGCGAUUAUGAGUUUGUAAAUGGAUUUUGUGGAAUUGAUUCAGAAUGAAAUGCAAAUUAGAAGAUGGUUUGUGGGGUCUGACACUGCGCUGGAAUUGUGACCACUCAGUCCUUCAACACUUUCUCCACAAGGAACAGACACAGCUAAAGCACCCAACUUUGGAUACCUUGUUCCUGAUGUUACGUCACAAAAAGAGAUCUUAAAGUAUAUCUCUUGGUGGGAACAAGAAUUUGCUGUCUCUAAUAGGCUUAAUCAUUUCGAACAAGAUUUCUUCUCAUAUAAAAAUGUAAGAUUUCAAGAUUUUGAUUUUGAUUCCUUGUCGUCAAGACAUGAGUGAGUGAUAGGAUCUCAUUUUUAAUUUUAAAUAUCUCAUUGCCGUUCACUUUAGGCUCACUCAUAAAUAAUUUAUUCAUUUUAUUAUAUAU